rnacentral:rRNA from 1 species
UUUUAUGAGAGUUUGAUCCUGGCUCAGGACGAACGCUGGCGGCGUGCCUAAUACAUGCAAGUUGAACGCUUCUUUUUCCACCGGAGCUUGCUCCACCGGAAAAAGAGGAGUGGCGAACGGGUGAGUAACACGUGGGUAACCUGCCCAUCAGAAGGGGAUAACACUUGGAAACAGGUGCUAAUACCGUAUAACAAUC